GAUGAAGAACGUAGCGAAAUGCGAUAAGUAAUGUGAAUUGCAGAAUUCAGUGAAUCAUCGAAUCUUUGAACGCACAUUGCGCCCCUUGGUAUUCCGAGGGGCAUGCCUGUUCGAGCGUCAUAUUAACCACUCCCGCUUGCGGGGUCUUGGGCUUCGCCUCCGGGCGGGCCUUAAAAUCAGUGGCGGUGCCGUCGGGCUCUACGCGUAGUAAAUUUUCUCGCGAUAGGGUCCCGGUGGAUGCUUGCCAACAACCCCCAACUUCUUAAGGUUGACCUCGGAUCAGGUAGGGAUACCCGCUGAACUUAAGCAUAUCAAUAGCGGAGGA
rnacentral:misc_RNA from 1 species